GGGUAACACUGGGUCAGUUGUUUCUUAGUUGGCUGCUGGCCAUGCUUGAUCCCCGAGCACUGUGGUAGUCCAUGCAUUUCAACCCCAAGCACCAAUACCACUUUCUUGGUUGCCAGCUCCUUUAGCUGAUUCCCACCUCAACCUCCAAGAUAAGCGUCUGUGCCAAUAUGUUCUAUUGAGUUUCUUUCCAAAUGUCAGAAGUAUAUAGAUGAAAGGUGUCUAGUUAAUCUUUGCUUUCUCCCAUUAAGUUUAUAGCCCACUUGUUCAGACAGCCAGAUGUUAUGCCAGGCCUGCCAAAAAGAAGCAGCAAGCACUCCUCAGCCAUCUGGAUGAUAUUCCUCCUACCAUGCUGAAGAAAGAUUAUGCUAAUGUCCCAAUAAUAGAUAAGGUUGAUGAUGUGGUGAAAAGAUUAUUGUCUCUGGAAAUGGCAAGCCAGG